CUUGAUUCUGACUCCAAAGAGUCGAACUGCAAGUGAGAAUCCAAGAGAGAAACAUCCAAAGUUCAAAACUCCUCUUUAGUAAUCCAAGUAGCAUCGGAAUCAGAACAACCAUGCCACUUGACAAGAUGAGAAGCGCAACUGUGGGAAUGAUUUUGUAAUGUCAACAAAUAACCUGGCACCCAAUGUGAAGAUGAUAAAAAAUAACUUUGGACAAUGAUGUGUGUCUCAACUAGAUGAUUUUCUUUUUUCUUAUUUCAAGUUAUCUACACUUUUUCUAUUUUAAACUGGAUAGUGUCCAUGAAGUUGUUUAUGAAUGGGAAAAGUUAGAAAAUUGGAGAGCAAUGAUAUGAUGAGAAGCGUACUUGCCUCCCUUAAAAGCAGAUGCUGAUUUUCGAGGGAAUAAAUAGCAACUCAUAUGCUAUUCAAACUGUUUUAAUUCUUUCUAAUGUGGAAAUAUAAUGCAAAUCCAUUUAUUGUUUUGUUUUUAAACUAUUUACAAUACGAAAAGGUAAGGGGCAAGGGGAAAGGCUCCCAAGUAACAGUUCAACAGCAAAGGUUUGGACAUUCACCACAAAGAUUGGUUUAGUAAAAGUCCUGGUGGCUUCCUAUUUCUGAAUCAAUAGUGCAUUCACUUGAUGCUGAUUUCUGGAUGCAUUUAAAAAGAGACGAUUGAAGAUGGAAAAGAAGGAUGCCCUGCAUUCCAUUGUGACCUUUAUGACACAGAAAUAGUUCACAAAAUAGCCCAAGUGUUCCUUCCUGGAUUAGCAGCAGCUUGUGUCGACAACACAACAGGUGGUAUAUUCAGGUCCCCUGCUUCAGUGGCUGUUGAUUUGAGAAAAGAAAUGAUUGACUACCUCACCCAGCGAAGCGAAAGUUUUGUUGCUGAGACUGUUAUCUUGGAAGGUGGUACAAAUACAGAGGUAUCUGACCAUCCUUAUGAUAUCAUUUCUGAUUUUGUUGAUGACUUUGCAAGUUCAAAGAGAAAUAUCUUUAGUCGGGUUUCAGGAUGGCUACUAAGUGAAAAGAGAGAAGACAAGAUAGAUGAUUUCGUACAGGAGAUGGAAGAAAAUGGGUUUUGGCUGACAGACAGGACAGAAGCAAUUGCCCAGACAUUGGUUAAGAAUGUUGACUUUAAGAACACAUCUCACUGUGACAAGAAAUUCAACACAGCAGAAGAGCUAGCUGGGCAUGUUGUCAACUGUGACUUUAGGUCCAUGAACUGCAAAAAUGAGGGGUGCACUGUUGUCUUUUGUGCAAGCCAAAUGGAGAAUCAUGAUUGUGUUUGUCCUUUCAAAAUAAUCCCAUGUGAACAGAAGUGCUCAGAUAGCAUCAUGAGAUGCGAAAUGGACCGGCAUUGUAUAACUGUCUGUCCAAUGAAGCUUGUGAAUUGUCCUUUCUAUUCUGUGGGUUGUCAAUCCACCAUAGCCCGGUGUAUGAUAAAGCAACAUUGUUUAGACGACCUCCAUUUGCACUUGGUAUAUGCUCUUAAAAAUAUUCACAAGGGAGCUACUGAGGAGGACCUAAAACAACGGGUGGAUCAGAUAGUGAAGGUGUGUCAUAGUUUUAACAUAUACAUUUAAGCUAUAAAUAUCAAUCCAACCUAUACCAACUGUAGGACCACGAAUGAUUGUAGACCAGCAAGAAACACAAAAAAAUUCUCACACAUUUUGGAAUGUCAAAAUGUGUAUGAAAUUAUAGUGAGUACCUGAUGGGGCGUUUACCGGGUACUUCAACUUAUCUAUAUUCUACAUUCUUAUUUACCUGAUUGCCAUAUAGGAUGAGUAAUUUUUGUAACCAAUAUAUAUAUUUACUUAUUUAUUAUAGACAUAGAAACCUGAAAGGUUCUGUUAUCGAUAUCUGCUGAAACUUUUUUCUUUCUUUGAAUCUCUCUCCCUGUCUGUGUAUUGGUUCCUUGAGGAGGACAAAGGAGAUUAUGGGAUCUGCCAUUUUUUUUUUAAUAUCACUACACUCACAACCACUGCUUUACAACUUGACCAUUCUUUUAAUUUCUCCACAAAAAAUCCCCUUGAAAAUUAGCAAUCAGUCAACAUCCAGCAUCAAAAUUUGACAUGAGAUUGCCAUUUUUUUCCUGUUGAAAUUAUAUUUAAUAGGCCACAAUAAAUUUCAUCUUGUGCUCUGCAUGGUUAGCUUCCUGCAAAUUUCCAUUCCAUCCACAAGGGUACAAUGAAAGAGAAUGGCGUUCUUUCACAAGGUAAAAUAGGGGAUCAUCCAUCUGUUGUGGACACAGAUCUAACUUGAGGCAUAAAGUUCUAAGCAUUUGAAAAAUGGUUGUCUUUUGUUCUUUCAAAUUGUUGCUGGUUUUGGGUGGAGUCCCGGUACAUGUGAUGUUAUUAACUUAUUUGCAUGGCCUUUUGGUAGACAGAUUCAUACUCCUUCACAUUUUGAUUCUUGAUCACUCAUUUGUUAUUCACUAGCACAUGUUCUAUAUGCCCUGUUAAUAUAAUAGUGCUUGAAUCGACACAUAAUUUCUAACCAGAGGUGAAACUUUUGAUUUUCCAUGACAGUCAUCUUCUGGUCAGCUAGAAGCAACUAGAGAUGCAAGAUCUCUAACCCUUAGAGUCAGGGAUCUUGAUGCAAAGCUUGGGCCAUUAGAAGUUAGUACUGCCAAAAAGGUUAGUGAAGAUGCCACUGAGGCUACAAAUAACAUUAUUGACAAAUCCACUGAGGCUAUAAACAAGGCAAUUGAAGAA
rnacentral:misc_RNA from 1 species